rnacentral:rRNA from 1 species
GACGAACGCUGGCGGCGUGCUUAACACAUGCAAGUCGAACGGAAAGGCCCUGCUUGCAGGGUACUCGAGUGGCGAACGGGUGAGUAACACGUGGGUGAUCUGCCCUGCACUUCGGGAUAAGCCUGGGAAGCUGGGUCUAAUACCGGAUAGGAGCCAUUUUCAGUGUGAUGGUUGGAAAGUUUUUUCGGUGUAGGAUGAGCUCGCGGCCUAUCAGCUUGUUGGUGGGGUAAUGGCCUACCAAGGCGGCGACGGGUAACCGGCCUGAGAGGGUGGACGGCCACAUUGGGACUGAGAUACGGCCCAGACUCCUACGGGAGGCAGCAGUGGGGAAUAUUGCACAAUGGGCGCAAGCCUGAUGCAGCGACGCCGCGUGGGGGAUGACGGCCUUCGGGUUGUAAACUCCUUUCGCUAGGGACGAAGCUUUUUGUGACGGUGCCUAGAUAAGAAGCACCGGCUAACUACGUG